rnacentral:tRNA from 1 species
AAAGCUUUAAGUUAAAAAACUAUUAACCUUCAAAGUUAAAAUUACAGGAUUAUCACUUGUAAGCUUUA